GAUGAACGCUGGCGGCGUGCCUAAUACAUGCAAGUCGAGCGAACGGACGAGAAGCUUGCUUCUCUGAUGUUAGCGGCGGACGGGUGAGUAACACGUGGAUAACCUACCUAUAAGACUGGGAUAACUUCGGGAAACCGGAGCUAAUACCGGAUAAUAUUUUGAACCGCAUGGUUCAAAAGUGAAAGACGGUCUUGCUGUCACUUAUAGAUGGAUCCGCGCUGCAUUAGCUAGUUGGUAAGGUAACGGCUUACCAAGGCAACGAUGCAUAGCCGACCUGAGAGGGUGAUCGGCCACACUGGAACUGAGACACGGUCCAGACUCCUACGGGAGGCAGCAGUAGGGAAUCUUCCGCAAUGGGCGAAAGCCUGACGGAGCAACGCCGCGUGAGUGAUGAAGGUCUUCGGUCGUAAAACUCUGUUAUUAGGGAAGAACAUAUGUGUAAGUAACUGUGCACAUCUUGACGGUACCUAAUCAGAAAGCCACGGCUAACUACGUG
rnacentral:rRNA from 1 species